rnacentral:rRNA from 1 species
GACGAACGCUGGCGGCGUGCUUAACACAUGCAAGUCGAACGGAAAGGCCCUGCUUUUGUGGGGUGCUCGAGUGGCGAACGGGUGAGUAACACGUGAGUAACCUGCCCUUGACUUUGGGAUAACUUUAGGAAACUGGGGCUAAUACCGGAUAGGAGCUCCUGCUGCAUGGUGGGGGUUGGAAAGUUUCGGCGGUUGGGAAUGGACUCGCGGCUUAUCAGCUUGUUGGUGGGGUAGUGGCUUACCAAGGCUUUGACGGGUAGCCGGCCUGAGAGGGUGACCGGCCACAUUGGGACUGAGAUACGGCCCAGACUCCUACGGGAGGCAGCAGUGGGGAAUAUUGCACAAUGGGCGGAAGCCUGAUGCAGCAACGCCGCGUGCGGGAUGACGGCCUUCGGGUUGUAAACCGCUUUCGCCUGUGACGAAGCGUGAGUGACGGUAAUGGGUAAAGAAGCACCGGCUAACUACGU